rnacentral:rRNA from 1 species
GUAGGGAAUAUUGGGCAAUGGUCGGAAGACUGACCCAGCCAUGCCGCGUGCAGGAAGACGGCCCUCUGGGUUGUAAACUGCUUUUAUCUGGGAAGAAAAAGGCCAUGCGUGGCAAAUUGCCGGUACCAGAUGAAUAAGCACCGGCUAACUCCGUGCCAGCAGCCGCGGUAAUACGGAGGGUGCAAGCGUUGUCCGGAUUUAUUGGGUUUAAAGGGUGCGUAGGCGGCUGAUUAAGUCAGCGGUGAAAGACUCCGGCUUAACCGGAGCAGUGCCGUUGAUACUGGUUAGCUUGAGUGUUGGAGGGGUACAUGGAAUUGAUGGUGUAGCGGUGAAAUGCAUAGAUACCAUCAGGAACACCGAUAGCGAAGGCAUUGUACUGGCCAAUAACUGACGCUGAUGCACGAAAGUGUGGGGAUCGAACAGGAUUAGAAACCCCGGUAGUCC